rnacentral:rRNA from 1 species
GAUGAACGCUAGCGGCAGGCUUAACACAUGCAAGUCGAGGGGUAUAGGUUUUCGGACCUAGAGACCGGCGCACGGGUGCGUAACGCGUAUGCAAUCUACCUUGUACAGGGGGAUAGCCCAGAGAAAUUUGGAUUAAUACCCCAUAGUAUUAUAGAAUGGCAUCAUUUUAUAAUUAAAGUUCCAACGGUACAAGAUGAGCAUGCGUCCCAUUAGCUAGUUGGUAUGGUAACGGCAUACCAAGGCUACGAUGGGUAGGGGUCCUGAGAGGGAGAUCCCCCACACUGGUACUGAGACACGGACCAGACUCCUACGGGAGGCAGCAGUGGGGAAUAUUGGUCAAUGGACGCAAGUCUGAACCAGCCAUGCCGCGUGCAGGAUGACGGUCCUAUGGAUUGUAAACUGCUUUUGUACAGGAAGAAACACUCCUACGUGUAGGAACUUGACGGUACUGUAAGAAUAAGGAUCGGCUAACUCCGUGCCAGCAGCCGCCGUAA